rnacentral:rRNA from 1 species
UACGUAGGGUGCGAGCGUUGUCCGGAAUUAUUGGGCGUAAAGGGCUCGUAGGCGGUCUGUUACGUCGGGAGUGAAAACUCGGGGCUCAACCCCGAGCCUGCUUCCGAUACGGGCAGACUAGAGGUAUGCAGGGGAGAAUGGAAUUCCUGGUGUAGCGGUGAAAUGCGCAGAUAUCAGGAAGAACACCGAUGGCGAAGGCAGUUCUCUGGGACGGUACUGCGCUGAGACGCGAAAGCGUGGGGAGCGAACAGG